UCUCCGUUGGUGAACCAGCGGAGGGAUCAUUACAGGACUCGCAAGACUCCUACAACCCUGUGAACUUAACUAUAAGCACGUUGCUUCGGCGGGUGUCUCGGAGGGGGUUCUCCCUCCCCGAGACGCUAAACCCGCCGGCAGCCUACUAUACUCUGUCUCUUUGCGUUGGCAUCUCGAGUACAAUCAAACAAGUUAAAACUUUCAACAACGGAUCUCUUGGUUCUGGCAUCGACGAAGAACGCAGC
rnacentral:misc_RNA from 1 species